rnacentral:rRNA from 1 species
CCUACGGGUGGCACCAGUGGGGAAUAUUGCACAAUGGGCGCAAGCCUGAUGCAGCCAUGCCGCGUGUAUGAAGAAGGCCUUCGGGUUGUAAAGUACUUACAGCGGGGAGGAAGGUGUUGUGGUUAAUAACCACAGCAAUUGACGUUACCCGCAGAAGAAGCACCGGCUAACUCCGUGCCAGCAGCCGCGGUAAUACGGAGGGUGCAAGCGUUAAUCGGAACUACUGGGCGUAAAGCGCACGCAGGCGGACUGUCAAGUCGGAUGUGAAAUCCCCGGGCUCAACCUGUGAACUGCAUUCGAAACUGGCAGGCUAGAGUCUUGUAGAGGGGGGUAGAAUUCCAGGUGUAGCGGUGAAAUGCGUAGAGAUCUGGAGGAAUACCGGUGGCGAAGGCGGCCCCCUGGACAAAGACUGACGCUCAGGUGCGAAAGCGUGGGGAGUAAACAGGAUUAGAUACCCCAGUAGUC